CCUGCCUGCCCUGUGACUUAGUUUAACGGCCGCGGUAUUUUAACCGUGCAAAGGUAGCGCAAUCACUUGUCUUUUAAAUAAAGACCCGUAUGAAUGGCAACACGAAGGCUUAACUGUCUCCUUUCCCUAGUCAGUGAAAUUAGUCUGCCCGUGCAGAAACGGACAUACCCGCAUAAGACGAGAAGACCCUAUGGAGCUUUAAAUAAGAUUUAACCAUAAAAAAUUACUCAAAUACUAAUAAGAAUAACACAGUGUUAACUAAUUAACUUAUUUUCGGUUGGGGCGACCACGGAGAAAAAUAAAUCCUCCACAUGGACUGAGAACUCCUCUUUAAUCAAGAAACCACACAUCUAAAAAUCAGCACAGCUGACCAAUAAUGAUCCGACUUAAAUCGAUCAAUGAACCAAGUUACCCUAGGGAUAACAGCGCAAUCUUCUUCCAGAGCCCUUAUCGACAAGAAGGUUUACGACCUCGAUGUUGGAUCAGGACAUCCUAAUGGUGUAGCUGCUAUUAAGGG
rnacentral:rRNA from 1 species